UACGUAGGGUCCGAGCGUUGUCCGGAAUUACUGGGCGUAAAGAGCUCGUAGGUGGUUUGUCGCGUUGUCCGUGAAAACUCACAGCUUAACUGUGGGCGUGCGGGCGAUACGGGCAGACUGGAGUACUGCAGGGGAGAACGGAAUUCCUGGUGUAGCGGUGAAAUGCGUAGAUAUCUGGAGGAACACCGGUGGCGAAGGCGGCAUCCUGGACCGGUAUUGACGCUGAGGCGCGAAAGCUAGGGGAGCAAACGGG
rnacentral:rRNA from 1 species